AGUUGAUGCCCGGGGAGCUUUUGCUGAGAUUGGAUUGAAUCCUAAACCCGUUUUACCUGAUGCGGUGUAACGCCGUCGUAGGGAGGACAAGUUGAGCUAAG
rnacentral:ncRNA from 1 species